UACGUAGGGGGCUAGCGUUGUCCGGCUUUAUUGGGCGUAAAGAGCGUGUAGGCGGCCAUGUAGGUCCGGUGUGAAAACUCGAGGCUUAACCUCGAGAUGUCAUCGGAAACCAUUUGGCUAGAGUCCGGAAGAGGCGAGUGGAAUUCUCGGUGUAGCGGUGAAAUGCGUAGAUAUCGAGAGGAACACCUGCGGCGAAGGCGGGUUGCUGGGCUGACACUGACGCUGAGGCGCGAAAGCCAGGGGAGCGAACGGG
rnacentral:rRNA from 1 species